GGCCACCCCCGGCCCGGCCACCGCGCCGCGCGCUCCCCGCCUGGGAGGCCGCCCUUGGAGGAGCGCCCCUGAGCCCCGCCGGGCCCCGGAAGUCCCGGGACGGGGAGCAGGGACUCGGGCCGCGGUCCCGGCGCCCUCGCCGAGGUCCAGCGAGCCCGUCCGUGGCACCUGCCGCCCCUGGCCGGCCGCUGCUCGGCGCACUCCCUCCUCCUCGGGAGGGCGCGCCCUCCGGCCGGUCCGCUAGGAGCCUCGCUCCGCGCCCCGCGUCGGGGACCCAGCGCUGCGGCCCCGCGUAGCCGCCCACGUGCCUCGGCCUGGGGUCCGGCCGCCGCCGGGGCCUGGCUUGCGGGACCGACGCCCGCCGUGCGGCGCUGGAAGCUCCCGGGCCCUGGGCGUCGCACACCGAGGGGCAGAAGGUUGUUCAACUUGCCAGCUCUCUUCAGAGGACCCAACGGUGCCAGAGGAGACUUGCUCCAGGUCCCAUCUGAGACUUGGAAGCGGCUUCUCAUGCAUGUCUUCCCUCAAGUUUCUGGAAGGAUGAUGUGGGGCACGACCUGGGGGACAAAAGCAGUGGUUUCAUCCCCAGAAGCCUCAGCCGCUCAGUCCAUUUCCUUCUGUGAGUAAUCUCCAGUGACACACAAUGGAGACACUCCUUACUGUCCUGAGGCUCCUUCUGUUUGUUUUGGGGCUCCCAGUGGCAUCUGUGUCCCCACUCUCUUUCCUCACUGCAGGGCUGCUUUGUGUUCGGGAUUGUGGAGUAAGCUUUUAAACUUUCCCAAAAUUGUCAUCAGAUCACCUGCCUUCUGGGCACGAAAGGUUCCUGUGCUCUUGUGGCUUACAAUGUACACGUGAGGCAGGGCAAGGGGACAAUAGGUUCCCUGAGCGGGCUCACUGAUGUGCUGUGCUGUGCUUCCUGACACUGAUGAGUCCCAGAGCAAUUCUGUCUCUUUUCUUAGCUGCUCCUGCCAGACCCUUGGCUCCCUGUCCUCGUGGCCCCUACUCAAUCCUCCUGGAAACCUGUGGGCAGCGUCUGAAGCCGGGGUCUCUACCUGGAUGCUGAACCCAGCAUUUGGGUGCUGCAGACCCUCCUGACAGGCAGCCUCUGGCCUUGGGGACCAACCACCUCCCCUGGGGCUCAUCCUGUUGACAUCCACCCA
ensembl:lncRNA